rnacentral:rRNA from 1 species
UGAUGGCGACCGGCGCACGGGUGAGUAACACGUAUCCAACCUGCCGAUGACUCGGGGAUAGCCUUUCGAAAGAAAGAUUAAUACCCGAUGGCAUAGUUCUUCCGCAUGGUGGAACUAUUAAAGAAUUUCGGUCAUCGAUGGGGAUGCGUUCCAUUAGGUUGUUGGCGGGGUAACGGCCCACCAAGCCUUCGAUGGAUAGGGGUUCUGAGAGGAAGGUCCCCCACAUUGGAACUGAGACACGGUCCAGACUCCUACGGGAGGCAGCAUG